rnacentral:lncRNA from 1 species
UAUCAGUAUGAUCUAUGAAAUAUAAGUAUUAUUUCAGGAGGCAGUACAAUGCAAGCAGUCAUCCAUCUAUCCGCUAGACGUCGAGCAACUUAAGCCUCGAUUAGGGUUUCCACAACUUCGCCAAAGGUCGCAACUUGCGACUCGCAAGACCUUAUUGACCCCAAACGAGCCAGCAGCUUCAUAUGGACAGCGCGGUGUCGUUGAAACCCGAGAACAACGCAGACAUUACCAUGAAAGGCCCUAAGCGGAAAGUGCCAGCCGAGCACGACACCGCACGGUACGACAGCUCGCAGCAUCCCCAGCAGCCCCCAACAUAACACAGCACAGCACAGCACGAUGGGCCUUAGUACAUGCAUAACCCAGCACAAGAAGCACAUCCUCCACAGGAUGGCAAAGGCUGGAGGAAAUCAGCGGCAAGUACAGCUUUUUGGGCUCCAUGAUGCCCUUUAGCGUUCCCUGAUCGGCUGGGCUCACUUCACUUCAAUGCAACCUGGGUGGAAAGCAUCUUGGGGGGCUUGCCAGCGCCUCACCAGGCUGAGGCACCAGCGGCGAGCCAGUGGUGUCGACGUAGCGUCUGCGCAAAAAUGGGGACACCACAGGGGAGGUAACGGGGGGAUUUAUGCGGCGCACGUGCUCGCUGGCCGAAACACCGAAGUCCCUGUGGCCACUCAGGGCGAUGCAGCUUUUGAACCCGGCCGAAUCGGAUAGCCCGUGAAAGGAGGCCACGUGCUUCAUGCAACUGAAGUUAUUCAGCGUGUUGCAUGGUCGCGAGCAGAAAUGCAAAAGGGGGUUAAUGUUUCCUUGCUAAGGAAAUUGGACGUGAUGUUUGCUUUGCUCCGUAAACCCCAGAACUUUGGCAUGUCGUCCCCGCGUUUAGGUUAUCUUCGAAUGGCAAAAAGAGCGUCAUUGUCUGCUGAUUACCUUUGGGGAGCAUGCACGUGCCGAUUGAAAGAACCGGUAUCGUAAAG